UCACCAUCUACAGCAGCUCCGCAGCCUUGCAGUGUACUGCUUGCUGAAAAAUUGUCAAUGAAUCAAGUCGUGGGGAAAAAGUGAAAGGCAAAGCGAGUUAUGACAAUAAUGUGUGAUUGUUCUGAAAGUGAGCAGACAUACGGCGGUACUCUAGCCAUAGAGUGAGAUGGAAAAUUAAGUCCAUGUCCAGGAUGGUGCGGGCUGGAGCGGUGGAGGUUCGGCGUCUUCGCCUCAC